AGCCGCAUGCGAAGAUAUAUUUUCCCAUGCGGUUGACCUAAGAAGACCGCAUGCGAAGAUCUAUUUUCGCAUGCGGCC
rnacentral:pre_miRNA from 17 species